rnacentral:rRNA from 1 species
CCUACGGGAGGCAGCAGUGAGGAAUAUUGGUCAAUGGACGAGAGUCUGAACCAGCCAAGUAGCGUGAAGGAUGACUGCCCUAUGGGUUGUAAACUUCUUUUAUAAAGGAAUAAAACGAGGCACGUGUGCCUUUUUGCAUGUACUUUAUGAAUAAGGAUCGGCUAACUUCGUGCCAGCAGCCGCGGUAAUACGGAGGAUCCGAGCGUUAUCCGGAUUUAUUGGGGUUAACGGGAGCGGAGAUGGGGUGUUAAGUCAGUGGGGAAAGUUUACGGCUCAACCGUAAAAUUGCAAGUGAUACUGGCAGUCUUGAGUACAGGUGAGGUAGGCGGAAUGCGUGGGGUAGCGGUGAAAUGCUUAGAUAUCACGAAGAACCCCGAUUGCGAAGGCAGCUUACUAAACUGAGACUGACAUUGAUGCUCGAAAGUGUGGGGAUCAAACAGGAUUAGAUACCCUAGUAGUC